CGGCAGCUUACACAUGCAGUCGAGCGGUAACAGGGGGUGCUUGCACCCCGCUGACGAGCGGCGGACGGGUGAGUAAUGCAUAGGAAUCUGCCCAGUAGUGGGGGAUAGCCCGGGGAAACCCGGAUUAAUACCGCAUACGCCCUUUGGGGGAAAGCAGGGGAUCUUCGGACCUUGCGCUAUUGGAUGAGCCUAUGUCGGAUUAGCUAGUUGGUGGGGUAAAGGCCUACCAAGGCGACGAUCCGUAGCUGGUCUGAGAGGAUGAUCAGCCACAUCGGGACUGAGACACGGCCCGAACUCCUACGGGAGGCAGCAGUGGGGAAUAUUGGACAAUGGGGGCAACCCUGAUCCAGCCAUGCCGCGUGUGUGAAGAAGGCUUUCGGGUUGUAAAGCACUUUCAGUGAGGAGGAAAACCUUCUGGUUAAUACCCAUGAGGCUUGACGUUACUCACAGAAGAAGCACCGGCUAACUCCGUGCCAGCAGCCGCGGUAAUACGGAGGGUGCAAGCGUUAAUCGGAAUUACUGGGCGUAAAGCGCGCGUAGGUGGUUUGAUAAGCGAGAUGUGAAAGCCCCGGGCUUAACCUGGGAACGGCAUUUC
rnacentral:rRNA from 1 species